rnacentral:lncRNA from 1 species
CUAUUAUAUUUAUUAUCAAACAUCCAAUACCAUCAUUUUUUGAACAUCCAACAAAAUACAAACAUAGUUACAAAGUACUGGAGAUCAAAAUAAGAUCUAGUAAUCCAUCAUAGCUAGCGAUGACAUCUUGUCUUGGAUAUGUGCAACUACUGAAAUGUAUAACAAACCAACACCAAAUAAUUAGGCCAAACCACCAUAAGACUGCUUCAAUUCGAUGAGUGUGUAUCUUCCUCUUCAACUCAAUUGUAUAGCGAGUUUUUUGCUCCUUUAAUCGUGCUCCAGAUUGCUUAUUAGCAAGAAUCAUACAUGAUAAAACAGAGUGAUUAUAAGCCAGAUUUGACUAUAUUUCAAUGAAAUUAGUAACUACGACAUCCUAAGGCCCCAGUCCCGAUUCAUACUAUGCAAUAAACAUAUAACAUAGCUUGCAAAGUUUAAGCAACAAAGGCGCAUACUUUGACAUUAAUAUACAAGAUCAUAUAUAGCACAAAAAUCAAAGCCCGUGAUCCAGAUACACAAAAAGAUUCAAUCUUUAACAAACAAGAACCCUAGAUGAUUUAAUUGAAAAGCAAAAGCCAAAAUAAUCAUACAUCUAUACAAAGAGUAACUGACCAAAAUUGGAAAAUACAGAGAUUUGAGAAAGAGUACCUUUCGUAAUUGGUGAAAAAUCCUAACUCAAGGAUGGAAACCCUAACAAGACCAUUUUGAAAAACUAAAAACGAAGUCAGUCAAACAUAUACACAAACACAAAGUAUAUGAUAAUGAAAAAGGGAAGACCCAUCCAUUGAAUUGAUAUGCCUGUGAGUCCCCGAGUCGUACACGAUCUGUGACCCGACCCAUCAAUUGAAGUCUGCAACGACGUCGUCGUCUUCGAAACGGAAAAAUGUCUCGAUUGGGUUCAGCGGUGAUAGGUUCGGCGAGUUUGUGAUUUAGGCAUCCGAUCCAAGUCUAUCAUGGGGUUAAAGCUUGAAGAGGGAGAGAGAGAGGCGUCGGAGAGUCUGUGUGUGAGAGAGAUGGAGAGAAAGAGUGNN